rnacentral:rRNA from 1 species
UACGUAGGGCGCAAGCGUUAUCCGGAAUUAUUGGGCGUAAAGAGCUCGUAGGCGGUUUGUCGCGUCUGCCGUGAAAGUCCGGGGCUCAACUCCGGAUCUGCGGUGGGUACGGGCAGACUAGAGUGAUGUAGGGGAGACUGGAAUUCCUGGUGUAGCGGUGAAAUGCGCAGAUAUCAGGAGGAACACCGGUGGCGAAGGCGGGCCUCUGGGCCGUAACUGACGCUGAGGAGCGAAAGCGUGGGGAGCGAACAGG